rnacentral:rRNA from 1 species
GUUUUAGGGAGCUUAGCCUAGAUCCCUUUUUAUUUUAGGGGGUUUAGGUUGGGGUGCCAAAGGAGAGGCGGCAGCGCAUGGAAAGCAGAAGGCAGGUGGAUGGGGUUAGGCCCGAGUUCUCGACGACGGCACGGGAUGGAGAGAAGGCGCCGCGGAGGCGGGGGAGGGAGUGCGCGCAGCGGCGGCAGCGGCAAGGGACCAGUAGGAGCCGCGUAGGUACGACAGAGUCGGGGCAGCCGUUAAAACCGGUAACCGAAGACUCCACGCAGUCGGGAUCCUCCCCUCUUUUUAAAGUCUUCGGUUCUUUCCAGAGUGCUCGUCUCAUCCCCUCCUGAAACAAUCACCUGAGUCUCGUAACGUGCACGAACAUCUACCUCUCCUAUUGGUGGUUGGGCAAGAUAUGGAGACCUUAGGGUCAUUGACACGGUAGUGGAGACGGAAGUUGGUGGUACCUACUUUCGAAAUGUUCCGAAGGUCUACGCGUCUUACAAAACGACCUCUCCCUUGACUCUUCUUGGGGAGAGGGCGGAGUAGUUUCAUGACAACGAGGAUAAACGCCCGUCAAAGUGGGGUCAUGACCUAGACAGCCCGGAGACGCAAGCGGGGGCCGACAUUCUAAGAGAAGUCAAGGCUUGGGACUCGUUAUGUUGCCACGGUUAGGAAUGUAAAGAGUCUGCGGUUCGUGACCUUCAAGAAGUCGCUACCAAAUACCUAGUGUGGUACUUCCGAAGCUUGGAUGAAAAUUACUAAAAGGUUCUCUACAACCUGGUUGCACCACGGGACUAGGUCAACUCUCGUACGAACCUAAGAGGCUACUACAGGGACAACCUUUGUUAAACUGACCGUAGUCAGGAUAACGUCGAUGUCUACUCGAGCGAUUCGUCUGACUUACCACCUGGCUAAAAUACUUACUGCUGACCUUCCUGUAACGACUGUUGCGUCCACGACGAUUUUGAGUAUGUGUCCGACCUGGCGGACACGUUAGUAGCUAAAGUCAACUAGUUAGUCGGUCGGUCGUUCAACCAUGUUGAAGUCAAGUGGUUAGUCGGGAGGUCGUUUAUCAAUGUUGAGUUGGAUAUCUUAGUAGACAUCAACGACGUGGGAGUGGGAGACGGUCGAGGUUGUGGAGGUUCUGUGCGUACUCCACCUGAGGACUUGAAGUACUCGCAAAGCACCUGCGACAGUUAGACGAACCACCGUCACUUUUUCGAUGAGGUUUCCCGCACGAUUUCGAUUACUUCCGUCUAUUAAACUGGUAAAUAGUACAUUUUUCAGUAGAAGUCUUCAUGUCUUGACGGGCUAUAUCUGGUCUUAAUAGACUUCCAAGUAGUCUUUCCAACCUCCGGAGUUUUCUCCUCAACGGUAGAUAUCUGGAAUUUCCCUUAAAACUAGAGUGACUUCGUAACGCAGAGGUCAAUCUUGAAGUUUUCGCCGAGGUACUUGUCGAACUCCACGUUUCUUCAGACGUCGACUCUUAGCUCCUCGUUCCCUUCACGGAAGUCUAAUACUAGCUCGUCGUUACGUUAGGACGACGUCUGUUCCGCGACCUACGAAGUUGGAGCCGUCUUCCUGGUUUCAAUAGAAGACUGGGGGGUCUUAGAAGAUGGCACUUCCUACAAGGUUUGUUGUCAGUUUUACCUUGUUGGCUCGUUCGUCUUAGUCCACUAUUCCUUACUUCUAGAUUGGUACGAGCGGACUUCAACACUUGGGGUGAUCGGUACUUAAACUGACCAACGACGGUUUGAUCUUAGUUCAGCCAGAAAAUAGAAAGACCCUCUUUCCCCACUCGUAAAGAUACUUGAUCCAAAUCGACAUGUCAUGGGUGUCAGUGCCUUCGCUACUAAGGCACGGUACACCUACUAGAUCCAAAGGUCUUCCGUCGCGUUCGUUUAAGUGUGACUACAUGACAAAACUCCACCAAACUGAAUAACGAAAGCGGCAACAAUCCUUGUGUUAUCGUAGAAUCCGUAAACUAAUACGUGAUUAGGUUCAUAAACAAUAUAAGAGACGGUGGAGUACACAAACCUCGUACAAAAUACCAUGGUUUGUACCAGUCCGAUAUAAAUGGAAAUAAAGAAUGAAAGUCAAUUAUCAAUGGGACACAGGCGUUCCCUCGUUUGGAAAAUUCGGAAGCCGGGAAUGUUACAAAUGGCACACCGAAACAUAAAUACACUGACGCACUUCUUGCGUCACAACCUACGAGAAAACUUACUGUGGCCUAAGGGACAUCAUCGAGCAGUUUAUUUACUUGAUUUUAAAAUGUC